AGCUUCUUGGACCCCUCACCUUCUGGA
rnacentral:piRNA from 1 species